rnacentral:rRNA from 1 species
AUUGAACGCUGGCGGCAGGCCUAACACAUGCAAGUCGAGCGAGCGGCGGAAGGGUGAGUAAUGUAUGGGGAUGUGCCCGAUGGAGGGGGAUAACUACUGGAAACGGUGGCUAAUAACGCAUACUAUCGGCUGAACCCAUAUGGGAUUAGCUAGUAGGUGGGGUAAAGGCUCACCUAGGCGACGAUCCGUAGCUGGUCUGAGAGGAUGAUCAGCCACACUGGAACUUAGACCCGGCCCAGACUCCUACGGGAGGCAGCAUUGGGGAAUAUUGCACAAUGGGCGCAAGCCUGAUUCAGCCAUGCCGCGUGUAUGAAGAAGGCCUUCGGGUUGUAAAGCACUUUCAGCUGGGAGGCGUUACCCGCAGAAGAAGCACCGGCUAACUCCGUGCCAGCAGCCGCGGUAAUUC